rnacentral:tRNA from 1 species
GCGGUAAUGGUGUAGUGGUAUCAUCUGAGACUGUGGAUCUCUGGACCUGGGUUCGAAUCCCAGUUACCGCC